rnacentral:rRNA from 1 species
AGGAUGAACGCUGGCGGCGUGCUUAACACAUGCAAGUCGAACGAUGAAGGCUGGAGCUUGCUCUGGCUGGAUUAGUGGCGAACGGGUGAGUAACACGUGAGUAACCUGCCCCAGACUCUGGGAUAAGCGCUGGAAACGGCGUCUAAUACCGGAUACGAGCUUCCACCGCAUGGUGAGGAGCUGGAAAGAAUUUCGGUCUGGGAUGGACUCGCGGCCUAUCAGCUUGUUGGUGAGGUAAUGGCUCACCAAGGCGACGACGGGUAGCCGGCCUGAGAGGGUGACCGGCCACACUGGGACUGAGACACGGUCCAGACUCCGUACGGGAGCAGCAGUGGGGAAUAUUGGACAAUGGGCGAAAGCCUGAUCCAGCCAU